ensembl:lncRNA
CUGGUGAAAUGGGCAGAAGGGAUAGAGCAGAUGAGGGGGAUCAGAAAGAGAAGGGGUGCUCACAGAAAAAAUAAGGGGACAAAAAAAAAGGGAGCUGGUCUUUGAUUCAGUUGGGGUCCAUAUUCACAAAGAGAUCACUCAGAGAUUUCAUACAAAUGGCAGGAGCAGAAUGCGAGCACACCGAGGGGCCUAAUGCAGGCACUUGUCCUGUAAUCAAAGAUUCAGCUCGACGUGAGUCCUUUGUGAGACAACAGCAUCAUUCUCCACCCGGGUUCACCCCUGAAUGCAGAGCAGCUCUCUAAAGCAAGGCAGGACGAGCCUCGCCUUUCUUUGUCUUGUGAAGCUGAGGAUGUUUGCGUGAGGGAGGCACUGACGGGGAGAGGAGAGCAGAGCAGCAGAUGGGCGGAAUGGAAUGGCGGGGCGAGAGCGGCUCAGCCUGCUGUGGUGGGACGUGCGGCAGCAUGGCUGACAGCUCCAGGCAGCGAGCACCAUGGCGUCCUCCUCUGCGUUUCCAGAUGUCUCCAGAUCAGCGCUGGAUGCCUUUCCAAUAGUCAAAUACAAGCAAUUCAUUUCACAGAAUAUCUGUGGUUUGAAAUUCAGAGGAAGAUAAAAAUGGCUUACCCUGGCCUUCAGAGCUCUAAGUAUCACAGAUAGGAAAUCCUGGAAUCCUGGAUGUAAGUGUAAUUGAGGUGUACGCAGGAAAAGACACUUUGCGUUGUGAAAAGUAACUAUUCUUUUCAAACCUUUUCUCUUUUUAUUCUGUUGGCUACACCCAAGAAGUCAUACGCAUAUCAGAGAAUGUUACUGUUCAGAUCAGAUCUAUUGACAUAAUUAACUUAUUUGCAAACAGUUUCAUGUAUUUUUGUCUGAGUCUGCCUUCCUGCAUACACCAAAACUACCCUGAUUCAGCUCCUAGUGAAUUAGGGUGGUGUACAGCAAAUAAAGGAACAAUCAUUGAGUCCAAACAUAUUUGCAUUCUUAAUAUGGUGCGCACAUUCAGGCAAGAGGCAAUUUGCAUGAAGACCAUGAGCCAAAUGCAGUUCUGACAGUAGCAGGCAUAACUUUAUUCAAAUCAGACAAGCAGCAGGCAUUUACAAGGGGCCAGAAUAGGUGCUGUGUGCUUGCUGCACGUCCAUGCUCAGCAUAAUGCACUGCUCUUGAUCAAAACCUCACAUUUUCCAUAGAUGGACCAAUGCUUAUCAGAAAUGAAUACAAAUUUCAGCUGUAGGAUGGGGUGUACACUUGCAGUACCUGACAAAAUGUAUAGUUUGCUUUUAAGCCUCGCUUUCAGUGUGAAGAGUAAUUCAUACUUUUAAAAAACACCCUCUUUUCAAGCUUUCAUUGCAUGGAUUAGCUGAGAAGCAGCAUGCCAGGAUGCCUCUGGCGACCUUCAAAACCUCCUUGUAAACUCAGGCACAAGCAGAAUCAGCUUCACUUCGUCCCAAGUAUUAGUGCUUUGUUUUAAAGUUGCAGUUUUCUGAGUGUUGCUCCUAAUACUUUAAUGGUGGUUGUAUACCCCAGUGCUGGUGCUGUGUCUUGCUGCGUUUCAGCAAAUGUUGUGAGGAAUCUACAGCAAUUAGCUGUUCAUGCCUCUGCUUUCCUGUUUUGUGCCUUCUCUUUCAUGUAUCAGAUGUUUGUAAGUUUUCCAUUAGACAUUUCCUGCUUCUAAUAGAUGUUUGUGAGGCUCUUGCUUUGAGCUAUCAAGGCUCCAAUUUGUGCUGAGAUGUUUGGUUUUGGUUUAGGGCUGAGAGGUCUUUGUACUCCUUUCUUCCUAGAAAACAUUAUAAUCUGGAAAAAAUAAAUAAAUUGUACUUUGCAAAAAGUGAAUAUGAC